UAUGCGAUACUUGGUGUGAAUUGCAGAAUUCAGUGAAUCAUCGAAUCUUUGAACGCACAUUGCGCCCCUUGGUAUUCCGGGGGGCAUGCCUGUUCGAGCGUCAUUACAACCCUCAAGCUCUGCUUGGAAUUGGGCACCGUCCUCACUGCGGACGCGCCUCAAAGACCUCGGCGGUGGCUGUUCAGCCCUCAAGCGUAGUAGAAUACACCUCGCUUUGGAGCGGUUGGUGUCGCCCGCCGGACGAACCUUCUGAACUUUUCUCAAGGUUGACCUCGGAUCAGGUAGGGAUACCCGCUGAACUUAAGCAUAUCAAUAAGCGGAGGAA
rnacentral:rRNA from 1 species